GACGAACGCUGGCGGCGUGCUUAACACAUGCAAGUCGAGCGAUGAAGCACCUUCGGGUGUGAAUUAGCGGCGAACGGGUGAGGAACACGUGAGAAAUCUGCCUUCAACUCUGGGAUAACUCCGGGAAACCGGGGCUAAUACCGGAUAUGAGCCUUGAUCGCAUGAUCGGGGCUGGAAAGUUUUUCGGUUGAAGAUGAUCUCGCGGCCUAUCAGCUUGUUGGUGAGGUAAUGGCGUCACCAAGGCGACGACGGGUAGCCGGCCUGACCCGAGGGCGACCGGCCACACUGGACUGAGACACGGCCCA
rnacentral:rRNA from 1 species